rnacentral:rRNA from 1 species
UACGUAGGGUGCAAGCGUUGCUCGGAAUCACUGGGCGUAAAGGGUGCGUAGGCGGGUCUUUAAGUCAGAGGUGAAAUCCUGGAGCUCAACUCCAGAACUGCCUUUGAUACUGAGGAUCUUGAGUUCGGGAGAGGUGAGUGGAACUGCGAGUGUAGAGGUGAAAUUCGUAGAUAUUCGCAAGAACACCAGUGGCGAAGGCGGCUCACUGGCCCGAUACUGACGCUGAGGCACGAAAGCGUGGGGAGCAAACAGG